AUGGGGAAACCCAGUGUGUUUCGACACACUAUCAUUAACUGAAUCCAUAGGUUAAUGAGGCGAACCGGGGGAACUGAAACAUCUAAGUACCCCGAGGAAAAGAAAUCAACCGAGAUUCCCCCAGUAGCGGCGAGCGAACGGGGAGCAGCCCAGAGUCUGAAUCAGUGUGUGUGUUAGUGGAAGCGUCUGGAAAGGCGCGCGAUACAGGGUGACAGCCCCGUACACAAAAAUGCACAUGCUGUGAGCUCGAUGAGUAGGGCGGGACACGUGGUAUCCUGUCUGAAUAUGGGGGGACCAUCCUCCAAGGCUAAAUACUCCUGACUGACCGAUAGUGAACCAGUACCGUGAGGGAAAGGCGAAAAGAACCCCGGCGAGGGGAGUGAAAAAGAACCUGAAACCGUGUACGUACAAGCAGUGGGAGCACGCUUAGGCGUGUGACUGCGUACCUUUUGUAUAAUGGGUCAGCGACUUAUAUUCUGUAGCAAGGUUAACCGAAUAGGGGAGCCGAAGGGAAACCGAGUCUUAACUGGGCGUUAAGUUGCAGGGUAUAGACCCGAAACCCGGUGAUCUAGCCAUGGGCAGGUUGAAGGUUGGGUAACACUAACUGGAGGACCGAACCGACUAAUGUUGAAAAAUUAGCGGAUGACUUGUGGCUGGGGGUGAAAGGCCAAUCAAACCGGGAGAUAGCUGGUUCUCCCCGAAAGCUAUUUAGGUAGCGCCUCGUGAAUUCAUCUCCGGGGGUAGAGCACUGUUUCGGCAAGGGGGUCAUCCCGACUUACCAACCCGAUGCAAACUGCGAAUACCGGAGAAUGUUAUCACGGGAGACACACGGCGGGUGCUAACGUCCGUCGUGAAGAGGGAAACAACCCAGACCGCCAGCUAAGGUCCCAAAGUCAUGGUUAAGUGGGAAACGAUGUGGGAAGGCCCAGACAGCCAGGAUGUUGGCUUAGAAGCAGCCAUCAUUUAAAGAAAGCGUAAUAGCUCACUGGUCGAGUCGGCCUGCGCGGAAGAUGUAACGGGGCUAAACCAUGCACCGAAGCUGCGGCAGCGACGCUUAUGCGUUGUUGGGUAGGGGAGCGUUCUGUAAGCCUGCGAAGGUGUGCUGUGAGGCAUGCUGGAGGUAUCAGAAGUGCGAAUGCUGACAUAAGUAACGAUAAAGCGGGUGAAAAGCCCGCUCGCCGGAAGACCAAGGGUUCCUGUCCAACGUUAAUCGGGGCAGGGUGAGUCGACCCCUAAGGCGAGGCCGAAAGGCGUAGUCGAUGGGAAACAGGUUAAUAUUCCUGUACUUGGUGUUACUGCGAAGGGGGGACGGAGAAGGCUAUGUUGGCCGGGCGACGGUUGUCCCGGUUUAAGCGUGUAGGCUGGUUUUCCAGGCAAAUCCGGAAAAUCAAGGCUGAGGCGUGAUGACGAGGCACUACGGUGCUGAAGCAACAAAUGCCCUGCUUCCAGGAAAAGCCUCUAAGCAUCAGGUAACAUCAAAUCGUACCCCAAACCGACACAGGUGGUCAGGUAGAGAAUACCAAGGCGCUUGAGAGAACUCGGGUGAAGGAACUAGGCAAAAUGGUGCCGUAACUUCGGGAGAAGGCACGCUGAUAUGUAGGUGAAGCGACUUGCUCGUGGAGCUGAAAUCAGUCGAAGAUACCAGCUGGCUGCAACUGUUUAUUAAAAACACAGCACUGUGCAAACACGAAAGUGGACGUAUACGGUGUGACGCCUGCCCGGUGCCGGAAGGUUAAUUGAUGGGGUCAGCGCAAGCGAAGCUCUUGAUCGAAGCCCCGGUAAACGGCGGCCGUAACUAUAACGGUCCUAAGGUAGCGAAAUUCCUUGUCGGGUAAGUUCCGACCUGCACGAAUGGCGUAAUGAUGGCCAGGCUGUCUCCACCCGAGACUCAGUGAAAUUGAACUCGCUGUGAAGAUGCAGUGUACCCGCGGCAAGACGGAAAGACCCCGUGAACCUUUACUAUAGCUUGACACUGAACAUUGAGCCUUGAUGUGUAGGAUAGGUGGGAGGCUUUGAAGUGUGGACGCCAGUCUGCAUGGAGCCGACCUUGAAAUACCACCCUUUAAUGUUUGAUGUUCUAACGUUGGCCCCUAAUCGGGGUUGCGGACAGUGUCUGGUGGGUAGUUUGACUGGGGCGGUCUCCUCCUAAAGAGUAACGGAGGAGCACGAAGGUUGGCUAAUCCUGGUCGGACAUCAGGAGGUUAGUGCAAUGGCAUAAGCCAGCUUGACUGCGAGCGUGACGGCGCGAGCAGGUGCGAAAGCAGGUCAUAGUGAUCCGGUGGUUCUGAAUGGAAGGGCCAUCGCUCAACGGAUAAAAGGUACUCCGGGGAUAACAGGCUGAUACCGCCCAAGAGUUCAUAUCGACGGCGGUGUUUGGCACCUCGAUGUCGGCUCAUCACAUCCUGGGGCUGAAGUAGGUCCCAAGGGUAUGGCUGUUCGCCAUUUAAAGUGGUACGCGAGCUGGGUUUAGAACGUCGUGAGACAGUUCGGUCCCUAUCUGCCGUGGGCGCUGGAGAACUGAGGGGGGCUGCUCCUAGUACGAGAGGACCGGAGUGGACGCAUCACUGGUGUUCGGGUUGUCAUGCCAAUGGCACUGCCCGGUAGCUAAAUGCGGAAGAGAUAAGUGCUGAAAGCAUCUAAGCACGAAACUUGCCCCGAGAUGAGUUCU
rnacentral:rRNA from 1 species